rnacentral:lncRNA from 14 species
GGAAAGCGAGUGGGUGCCCAUGUGCUGGAUGAGCUCACUGGUGUUGCACAAGCUUCACCAGUGGUCAAGCAGAGCUGCUGCUGCCAUGUGUGUGCACUGAGACGGUGGAGAGACUGUGGAGCAUCCCGACCUGCAGCUCCUCAGCCAGGGAGCUGUGCCAUCGCUGUGCCAUCACUGUGCCUGCUCACCCUACUGCAGCAGGGACUUGGGAGAGCAGGCAGCGCAUCCCACAAGCCUGACCAGAGAUCCCGGCAUCUGCGUGUGGCUUUGCAGGAACCAGUUGAACCAGCGGGCGAGGAGCGGUGCCCAACCUCGCUGCAGUGCAGGGGUUGAGGUGUCACCAGGAGAGGAGGGGAUGGGCAGGACGUGCCAGGCUCCAGCAGCUCCCAGCCUGGACAAGCUGUGAGCAGCUCCUGUGU